rnacentral:rRNA from 1 species
CAGUCGUGUUUGCUUGGACUCAGCCUUACCUCGGUUUGGUGCAUUUCCUUGUGAACGGGCCAGCGUCAAUGUUGUUCGUUGGAAAAGGGUAGAGAAAUGUGGCUCUUUCGGGAGUGUUAUAGUCUCUGAUCGUAUACAACGGCUGAUAUUGAGUGGUACAGCAUGCUUCGGCGGUGCUUGUGCUGGCAUAAUGGCUUAACGACCCGUCUUGAAACACGGACCAAGGAGUCUAACAUAUAUGCGAGUGUU